rnacentral:rRNA from 1 species
GGCGUGCUACUGGACCGUAACUGACACUCAGGGACGAAAGCUAGGGGAGCGAAAGGGAUUAGAUACCCCUGUAGUCCUAGCUGUAAACGAUGGAAACUAGGUGUGGCUUGUAUCGACCCGAGCCGUGCCGUAGCUAACGCGUUAAGUUUCCCGCCUGGGGAGUACGCAUGCAAGUGUGAAACUCAAAGGAAUUGACGGGGGCCCGCACAAGCGGUGGAGUAUGUGGUUUAAUUCGAUGCAACGCGAAGAACCUUACCAGGGCUUGACAUGUCGCGAAUCUCGGUGAAAGCUGAGAGUGCCUUCGGGAGCGCGAACACAGGUGGUGCAUGGCUGUCGUCAGCUCGUGCCGUGAGAUGUUGGGUUAAGUCCCGCAACGAGCGCAACCCUUAUUUUUAGUUGCCAGCAUUAAGAUGGGCACUCUAGAAAGACUGCCGGUGACAAACCGGAGGAAGGUGAGGACGACGUCAAGUCAGCAUGCCCCUUACGCCCUGGGCUACACACGUACUACAAUGGUUGGGACAAAGGGCAGCGACUCCGCAGGGAAUAGCGAAUCUCAUCAAACCCAGCCUCAGUUCAGAUUGCAGGCUGCAACUCGCCUGCAUGAAGGAGGAAUCGCUAGUAAUCGCAGGUCAGCAUACUGCGGUGAAUUCGUUCCCGGGCCUUGUACACACCGCCCGUCACACCAUGGAAGCUGGUCACGCCCGAAGUAGUUACCCUAACCUUUCGAGGAGGGGGAUUCCUAAGGCAGGGCUAGUGACUGGGGUGAAGUCGUAACAAGGUAACC